AUGAUGAGGUCGCCGGAGAUUGGGGUUUUCCGGCGUCGGAAUUUAGAUUUAAGUUGGAAGGUCGAAGUUACCGUUGAUCCGCAGGGAGGAUGGGUUGUUGCGGAAAAUGAUGGGUAACUCGAAUAUUGAGUUGACCGGGAUGGUGGUCGGAAUCAUUAUGUAAAUUGUACAGCGAUGAGAAAUAAUAGAUGAUCUUUUCUUUUCUCAUAUUUGGUUUCGUAUUUAUGAAUUAUGGAAAGGUACAUAUACAUAAAAACUGUUAAUCACAAAUUCACAAACAGAUGUUAUGAACUCGUAAAUCAUUUCCUCGUCCCAUUUUUCAAAACGUAUCAAGAAGCAUAUGUGUUGAAAUCGAUCAAGUCUAAAUGUGAAUUAUGAGAAAAGAAAAUUACGUAAGAUACUUUCACUUUUCUUCACCAAAUCACUCUCCGACGACUUUGUGAUUUCGUCUUGAAUUUUAGAUCAAUGUCGUGGCCGUCGUUGCCGACCUUGAGGAUCAUGGAUCGGAGCUCGUCCUCCGUCUCCGGGUAGCCGAGGUGUCUCGCUGAGCUCAGACAACGAUACAGCAAUUUUCUGACUCUCGCUGCUGUGACGGAGGCCGAAGCUUACGCUGCACCUUAUGGCAUCGAUGAGACCAGCGGCGUAGUAGGACCUCGUGCAAAUUGUUGAUAUGAAUUCCCUUGGCUGUGCACGUAUUUGUUCGAUCUGAUGCUCUUUGAUCUUUGUCAAGUUCAAAUAUAUGAGAUUUUGCGCAAAUUGUUUGAUUUUAAUUCCCCUUAUGAUCGACGCCAUUAGCUCCACCACAGAGAGACUCGUGAAUAGCCGGCCUCUUGAAUCAAAGCAAUCAUAGUUGAACAAUGCAAUCCUAUCUGAGUUUCUAUAUAUAAAUAGACUCUUACUGAUCCUCUUCUAAGGCACAGCAAACUAUAAUAACGCGAAGUUGUUUUUCAUUUUUACCUAGAUAAAGAAGAAGAAAAACGUGGCCAAGGCUAGCUUGAUUCAUGUUGUUUCUCUUCUUGUCAUCAUUUCCCUAGCUGAGAGAAAACUACUAGGCGUUGGGUUUAAAGAUGACAAUUCAGCGAUAGUGUGCAAUUCGGUUUAUGGUGCAGAGGCCGGUGAUACUUGCAGUAGCGUCAUUCAAAAGUUCGAACUGAGUAUCCAGUUCUUCCUUUCCAUCAAUCCUAAUAUCAAUUGCGACAGCUUCUUCGUGGGUCAAUGGCUUUGUACUGAUGGGACUGCAUAGUAAUCCAGUUGCACCAGUUUCAUGCGCUCAAUGUAUGAAUGAAGAGGAUUAGCUAGCUUCCAUGUCCUGUCAUCAGUGCCUUAUUUCCUAUUUAUUUAACCAAAAAUUCUGGAAACCACCUGAGGUGCUUAAUUAGUUAAAUCAACUGUAUGCAAGGCAAUGCUCAAUACACAGUGAUGAAAACUUGCUGGUCGAUGUUGGAGGGAGGAAAAAAAACAAAAGAUAAAGAGGUUUUCUUUUGUUUUUUUUGGUCUGAAAGAGGUUACUCAGAUUAUCAGAUACUAACUUGAUGGAUAACUCAAUUAGUAGUUGAUUAUUGAGUUAAUGUAACACACUCAAAUUCACAAAAACAUGAUAUAACAUGCUCAAAUCAAUUUGCACCAUUACCAAAAUGUAAUAAGAACCAAGGGAA